rnacentral:rRNA from 1 species
AAGGAAUAUUGGUCAAUGGACGCAAGUCUGAACCAGCCAUGCCGCGUGAAGGAUGAAGGUCCUCUGGAUUGUAAACUUCUUUUAUCUGGGACGAAAACGGGAUUUUUAUCUCAAUUGACGGUACCAGAGGAAUAAGCACCGGCUAACUCCGUGCCAGCAGCCGCGGUAAUACGGAGGGUGCGAGCGUUAUCCGGAUUUACUGGGUUUAAAGGGUGCGUAGGUGGGCUUAUAAGUCAGUGGUGAAAUCUCCGAGCUUAACUUGGAAACUGCCGUUGAUACUAUAGGUCUUGAAUUAUCUGGAGGUAAGCGGAAUAUGUCAUGUAGCGGUGAAAUGCUUAGAUAUGACAUAGAACACCAAUUGCGAAGGCAGCUUACUACAUAUAAAUUGACGCUGAGGCGCGAAAGCGUGGGGAUCAAACA